rnacentral:rRNA from 1 species
AUUGAACGCUGGCGGAAUGCUUUACACAUGCAAGUCGAACGGCAGCACGGACUUCGGUCUGGUGGCGAGUGGCGAACGGGUGAGUAAUAUAUCGGAACGUGCCCAGUCGUGGGGGAUAACGUAGUGAAAAUUACGCUAAUACCGCAUACGAUCUACGGAUGAAAGCGGGGGAUCGCAAGACCUCGCGCGAUUGGAGCGGCCGAUAUCAGAUUAGGUAGUUGGUGAGGUAAAGGGCCACCAAGCCAACGAUCUGUAGCUGGUCUGGGAGGACGACCGGCCACACUGGGACUGAGACACGGCCCAGACUCCUACGGGAGGCAGCAGUGGGGAAUUUUGGACAAUGGACGCAAGUCUGAUCCAGCCAUUCCGCGUGCAGGACGAAGGCCUUCGGGUUGUAAACUGCUUUUGUACAGAACGAAAAGGUUUCUAUUAAUACUAGGGGCUCAUGACGGUACUGUAAGAAUAAGCACCGGCUAACUACGUGCCAGCAGCCGCAGUAA